rnacentral:rRNA from 1 species
GAUGAACGCUGGCGGCGUUCUUAACACAUGCAAGUCGAGCGAAGCACUUUGCUUUGAUUUCUUCGGGAUGAAGAGCUUAGUUACUGAGCGGCGGACGGGUGAGUAACGCGUGGGUAACCUGCCUCAUACAGGGGGAAAACAGUUAGAGAUGACUGCUAAUACCGCAUAAGGCCACAGCACCGCAUGGCGCAGGGCUAAAAACUCCGGUGGUAUGAGAUGGACACGAGUCUGAUUAGGUAGUUGGCGGGGUAACGGCCCACCAAGCCGACGAUCAGUAGCCGACCUGAGAGGGUGACCGGCCACAUUGGGACUGAGACACGGCCCAAACUCCUACGGGAGGCAGCAGUGGGGAAUAUUGCACAAUGGGGAAACCCUGAUGCAGCGACGCCGCGUUAGCGAAGAAGUAUUUCGGUAUGUAAAGCUCUAUCAGCAGGGAAGAAAAUGACGGUACCUGACUAAGAAGCCCCGGCCAACUACGUGCCAGCCGCCGCCGUAA